GACGUAGGGCGCGAGCGUUGUCCGGAUUUAUUGGGCGUAAAGAGCUCGUAGGCGGCUUGUCGCGUCGUUCGUGAAAACCUGCAGCUCAACUGCAGGCUUGCGGUCGAUACGGGCAGGCUAGAGUUCGGUAGGGGAGACUGGAAUCCUGGUGUAGCGGUGAAAUGCGUGAGAUAUCAGGAGGAACACCUGUGGUGUAGACGGCUCUCUGGACAGUACUGACGCUGAGACACGAAAGCGUGGGUAGCAAACAG
rnacentral:rRNA from 1 species